rnacentral:rRNA from 1 species
UUUCGCAAUGCCCGAAAGGGUGACGAAGCGACGCCGCGUGCGGGAAGAAGGCCUUCGGGUUGUAAACCGCUGUCGGGAGUUAAGAAAUGUAAGGAUGUUAAUAGCAUCUUUACUUGACUAAGGCUCCGGAGGAAGCCACGGCUAACUCUGUGCCAGCAGCCGCGGUAAUACAGAGGCGGCAAGCGUUGUUCGGAAUUAUUGGGCGUAAAGAGCACGUAGGCGGCUAUGUAAGUCGGUUGUGAAAGCCUUCCGCUCAACGGGAGAACAGCAUCCGAUACUGCAUGGCUUGAGUGCGGGAGGGGAGAGUGGAACUCCUGGUGUAGCGGUGAAAUGCGUAGAUAUCAGGAGGAACGCCGGCGGCGAAAGCGACUCUCUGGGCCGUCCCUGACACUGGUGCGCGAAAGCUAGGGGAGCAAACAGGAUUAGAUACCCUGGUAGUCCUAGCUGUAAACGAUGGGCACUAAGUAGAGGGGUUUUA